rnacentral:rRNA from 1 species
GCUUGUCUCAAAGAUUAAGCCAUGCAUGUCUAAGUAUAAGCACUUUAUACUGUGAAACUGCGAAUGGCUCAUUAAAUCAGUUAUAGUUUAUUUGAUACUACCUUACUACUUGGAUAACCGUGGUAAUUCUAGUGCUAAUACAUGCAACGAUCCCCGACUUUUGAAGGGGUGUAUUUAUUAGAUGGAAACCAAUGCGGGGCAACCCGGAAUAUGGUGAAUCAUAAUAACUGUCGUAUCGAGCAAUCGAAGCGCCAUACAAGUUUCUGCCCUAUCAGCUUUGGAUGGUAGGGUAUUGGCCUACCAUGGCUUUAACGGGUAACGGAGAAUUAGGGUUCGAUUCCGGAGAGGGAGCCUGAGAAACGGCUACCACAUCCAAGGAAGGCAGCAGG